ACACAUGCAAGUCGAACGGAAAGGCCCUUCGGGGUACUCGAGUGGCGAACGGGUGAGUAACACGUGGGUGAUCUGCCCUGCACUUUGGGAUAAGCCUGGGAAACUGGGUCUAAUACCGGAUAGGACCACGCGCUUCAUGGUGUGUGGUGGAAAGCUUUUGCGGUGUGGGAUGGGCCCGCGGCCUAUCAGCUUGUUGGUGGGGUAAUGGCCUACCAAGGCGACGACGGGUAGCCGGCCUGAGAGGGUGACCGGCCACACUGGGACUGAGAUACGGCCCAGACUCCUACGGGAGGCAGCAGUGGGGAAUAUUGCACAAUGGGCGCAAGCCUGAUGCAGCGACGCCGCGUGAGGGAUGACGGCCUUCGGGUUGUAAACCUCUUUCAAUAGGGACGAAGCGCAAGUGACGGUACCUAUAGAAGAAGGACCGGCCAACUACGUGCCAGCAGCCGCGGUAAUACGUAGGGUCCGAGCGUUGUCCGGAAUUACUGGGCGUAAAGAGCUCGUAGGUGGUUUGUCGCGUUGUUCGUGAAAACUCACAGCUUAACUGUGGGCGUGCGGGCGAUACGGGCAGACUAGAGUACUGCAGGGGAGACUGGAAUUCCUGGUGUAGCGGUGGAAUGCGCAGAUAUCAGGAGGAACACCGGUGGCGAAGGCGGGUCUCUGGGCAGUAACUGACGCUGAGGAGCGAAAGCGUGGGGAGCGAACAGGAUUAGAUACCCUGGUAGUCCACGCCGUAAACGGUGGGUACUACGUGUGGGUUUCCUUCCUUGGGAUCCGUGCCGUAGCUAACGCAUUAAGUACCCCGCCUGGGGAGUACGGCCGCAAGGCUAAAACUCAAAGGAAUUGACGGGGGCCCGCACAAGCGGCGGAGCAUGUGGAUUAAUUCGAUGCAACGCGAAGAACCUUACCUGGGUUUGACAUGCACAGGACGCCAGUAGAGAUAUUGGUUCCCUUGUGGCCUGUGUGCAGGUGGUGCAUGGCUGUCGUCAGCUCGUGUCGUGAGAUGUUGGGUUAAGUCCCGCAACGAGCGCAACCCUUGUCUCAUGUUGCCAGCACGUUAUGGUGGGGACUCGUGAGAGACUGCCGGGGUCAACUCGGAGGAAGGUGGGGAUGACGUCAAGUCAUCAUGCCCCUUAUGUCCAGGGCUUCACACAUGCUACAAUGGCCGGUACAAAGGGCUGCGAUGCCGUGAGGUGGAGCGAAUCCUUUCAAAGCCGGUCUCAGUUCGGAUCGGGGUCUGCAACUCGACCCCGUGAAGUCGGAGUCGCUAGUAAUCGCAGAUCAGCAACGCUGCGGUGAAUACGUUCCCGGGCCUUGUACACACCGCCCGUCACGUCAUGAAAGUCGGUAACACCCGAAGCCGGUGGCCUAACCCUUGUGGAGGGAGCCGUCG
rnacentral:rRNA from 1 species